rnacentral:rRNA from 1 species
UACGUAGGGGGCUAGCGUUGUCCGGAUUUAUUGGGCGUAAAGAGCGCGUAGGCGGCCAGGCAGGUCUGCUGUGAAAACUCGAGGCUCAACCUCGAGACGUCGGCGGAAACCAUCUGGCUAGAGUCCGGAAGAGGAGAGUGGAAUUCCUGGUGUAGCGGUGAAAUGCGCAGAUAUCAGGAAGAACACCCGUGGCGAAGGCGGCUCUCUGGGACGGUACUGACGCUGAGACGCGAAAGCGUGGGGAGCGAACAGG